CACAUAGUCUCCCUCAUUUUUUCCACGGAUCGCUUCAUCCUGCCAAGGACAGUUUACUACUCCCGUCCUUAAGAUAAGAACAUGGACAAAGAUUAACCUACUGCAAGUGUGUUUUUCCCCACCCUCCUGUCUGAUGAAGAAUGGACAAAAAUCAAGCACAUGAACCAAGCAUAUGUCAGUUCUAUGGGCUUGUAGACGCCGCGAGAUGAACAUGCAAGACGUCAUAAAGAAGUGAAGGACGAACUUCCCCGGAG